GCCUCCGUAGCUCAAUGGAUAGAGCAUCUGGUUUCUACCCAGCUGGUUGCGGGUUCGACUCCUGCCGGGGGCGCCA
rnacentral:tRNA from 1 species